AACUCAUGAUGGGGGCACCUUCUCAAAAGACCCUUAAAUUUCUCCUAUGCAUCAUAUAAUGUAUCCAAAUAAAUUUGAUCAAAAAAAGAGAUGUCAUUCCUUAACUU
rfam:Gossypium hirsutum cultivar TM-1 chromosome 6, whole genome shotgun sequence